UACAGAGGGUGCAAACGUUGCUCGGAAUUAUUGGGCGUAAAGCGCGUGUAGGCGGCUUGUUAAGUCGGUUGUGAAAACCCAUGGCUCAACCAUGGAAGUGCGUCCGAAACUGGCAAGCUAGAGUCCUGACGAGGAUGGCGGAAUUCCCAGUGUAGAGGUGAAAUUCGUAGAUAUUGGGAGGAACACCGGUGGCGAAGGCGGCAUCCUGGACCGACACUGACGCUGAGGAGCGAAAGCCAGGGGAGCAAACGGG
rnacentral:rRNA from 1 species